CCUACGGGUGGCAGCAGUGGGGGAUAUUGCACAAUGGGGGGAACCCUGAUGCAGCGACGCCGCGUGUGGGAAGACGGUCCUCUGGAUUGUAAACCACUGUCCCCAGGGACGAAAAUGACGGUACCUGGGGAGGAAGCUCCGGCUAACUACGUGCCAGCAGCCGCGGUAAUACGUAGGGAGCGAGCGUUGUCCGGAAUUACUGGGUGUAAAGGGAGCGUAGGCGGGGAUGCAAGUUGGGUGUCAAAACUACCGGCUCAACUGGUAGUCGCACUCAAAACUGCAGCUCUUGAGUGAAGUAGAGGCAGGCGGAAUUCCUAGUGUAGCGGUGAAAUGCGUAGAUAUCAGGAGGAACACCGGUGGCGAAGGCGGCCUGCUGGACUGCAACUGACGUUGAGGCCCGAAAGCGUGGGGAGCAAACAGGAUUAGAUACCCCUGUAGUC
rnacentral:rRNA from 1 species